rnacentral:rRNA from 1 species
GUGCCAGCCGCCGCGGUAAUACAUAGGGGGCGAGCGUUAUCCGGAAUUAUUGGGCGUAAAGGGUACGUAGGCGGGUCUGCAAGUCUGAUUUGAAAGCACACGGCUUAACCGUGUGAGGUAAUUAGAAACUACGGGUCUAGAGAGUGGUAGAGGUAAAUGGAAUUCCAAGUGGAGCGGUGGAAUGCGUAGAGAUUUGGAGGAACACCAGUGGCGAAGGCGGUUUACUGGGCCACAUCUGACGCUAAUGUACGAAAGCGUGGGGAGCAAACAGGAUUAGAUACCCUGGUAGUCCACGCCGUAAACGAUGAGUGCUAAGUAUCGGUAGAAUCGGUGCUCAAGCUAACGCAGUAAGCACUCCGCCUGGGGAGUACGGUCGCAAGACUGAAACUCAAAUAAAUUGACGG